rnacentral:misc_RNA from 1 species
UUUCCGUAGGUGAACCUGCGGAAGGAUCAUUAAAGAACGCCCCGUUUUUUGAAAUGGGUAAUUCUAAACCGUGUAUACAUACCUUUGUUGCUUUGGCAGGCCGCCCCUCAGGGCGUCGGCUCCGGCUGACUGCGCCUGCCAGAGGACCCAAACUCUUUUGUUUAGUGAUGUCUGAGUACUAUAUAAUAGUUAAAACUUUCAACAACGGAUCUCUUGGUUCUGGCAUCGAUGUAGAACGCAGC